UACGAAGGGGGCUAGCGUUGCUCGGAAUGACUGGGCGUAAAGGGCGCGUAGGCGGUUCGUACAGUCAGACGUGAAAUUCCCGGGCUCAACCUGGGGACUGCGUUUGAUACGUGCGGGCUUGAGUUCGGAAGAGGGUCGUGGAAUUCCCAGUGUAGAGGUGAAAUUCGUAGAUAUUGGGAAGAACACCGGUGGCGAAGGCGGCGACCUGGUCCGAUACUGACGCUGAGGAGCGAAAGCAUGGGGAGCGAACAGG
rnacentral:rRNA from 1 species